rnacentral:sRNA from 1 species
CCCUAGCCCUGAUCGAAGCAUUUGUUUGAGCUCAUUUUCUGGGUUUUUCGGCGGCGGCAAAGCCGCCGCCGAAAAACCCAGAAAAUAGCGAGUGCGGAGAGCAGGAAAUUGC